rnacentral:rRNA from 13 species
GGGACUGAGACACGGCCCAGACUCCUACGGGAGGCAGCAGUGGGGAAUCUUGCACAAUGGGCGAAAGCCUGAUGCAGCCAUGCCGCGUGAAUGAUGAAGGUCUUAGGAUUGUAAAAUUCUUUCACCGGGGACGAUAAUGACGGUACCCGGAGAAGAAGCCCCGGCUAACUUCGUGCCAGCAGCCGCGGUAAUACGAAGGGGGCUAGCGUUGCUCGGAAUCACUGGGCGUAAAGGGCGCGUAGGCGGACAUUUAAGUCAGGGGUGAAAUCCCAGAGCUCAACUCUGGAACUGCCUUUGAUACUGGGUGUCUUGAGUGUGAGAGAGGUAUGUGGAACUCCGAGUGUAGAGGUGAAAUUCGUAGAUAUUGGGUAGAACACCGGUGGCGAAGGCGGUCAUCUGGCG